rnacentral:rRNA from 1 species
AUAGCCUACGGGGCGCAGCAGUGGGGAAUAUUGGGCAAUGGAGUAAACUCUUACCCAGCAAUGCCGCGUGAAUGAAGAAGGUCUUCGGAUUGUAAAGUUCUUUAAUUGGGGACGAAAAAAAUGACGGUACCCAAGGAAUAAGCCCCGGCUAACUACGUGCCAGCAGCCGCGGUAAUACGUAGGGGGCAAGCGUUGUUCGGAAUGACUGGGCGUAAAGGGUGCGUAGGCGGGGGAGCAAGUUAGAAGUGAAAUACCUAG